UACGUAGGGGGCAAGCGUUGUCCGGAAUUAUUGGGCGUAAAGCGCGUGUAGGCGGUUCGAUAAGUCUGCUGUAAAAGUCAAGGGCUCAACCCUUGAAAGCCGGUGGAUACUGUCGAACUAGAGUACGGAAGAGGCGAGUGGAAUUCCUGGUGUAGCGGUGAAAUGCGCAGAUAUCAGGAGGAACACCAAUUGCGAAGGCAGCUCGCUGGUACGUUACUGACGCUGAGACGCGAAAGCGUGGGGAGCAAACAGGAUUAGAUACCCUGGUAGUCCACGCUGUAAACGAUGGGAACUAGGUGUGGGGGGUGUCGACUCCCCCCGUGCCGAAGCUAACGCAUUAAGUUCCCCGCCUGGGGAGUACGGCCGCAAGGCUAAA
rnacentral:rRNA from 1 species